CUACAAAGUAAUUUGUAAUCCUCAGUUACAGAAUUGAAGCAAGCAUGAGCACCGUUUACCCGUAUGAGAGACUUGAACAUGCCAGCACAGUUUAUCAGAGCCGGGAAAGCACCUACCGAAGCAGAUCCUGCGUGGACGUAAUUCCGAUCAAAGUCCAGCGAUGGAAGGCAUAUGGCAACUAUAAUCCAGAAACCCAUCAGUAUGAUAAGGAAGGACCAAUUGUGCAAUCCACAAACACUCUCAAGUUGCGGUUCUCGAGGGAGAAGGCGAGCGGCGAUGCAAAGACGACCAUGGAGAGAUUGGCAAGGUACAAGAGGAUCAUUGCUGGGUCUCCCAGGGAAGCCAACAAGUUACGGGACAAAUUGCGUAGGUACGUUUACAACAAAGUCGGUGUUGCCGAAAAUCAGCAUCCGUCUAUUAUUGAUCAAAUACUCAAUGUGCUUCGAAGAGCCGUCCCUGAUAAGAUUAUCGAGGUUCGAGCAAUGAAUAUAAUAUAUAGAUAUACGGAGGAACGGCACCUGGAGUUGCUGUCGGAAGAUGCGUAGUAUUUAAACUACAAGUCCAAGCUGAUUCCGUCAACUGAAUCAUUCGUCGAGGCUUUAGAGGAAGCAGCGACUCCACCUGAUGAUGAUGAAUUAGAGUGUGCUAUUUGUAUGGAAAUGUUUGCACUGAGAAAAGAUAGCAGCAUUACUCAGUUGCCCUGCUCACACUAUUAUCAUCUAGAUUGCAUUGUCCCCUGGCUCCAAAUCAAUAAUGUCUGUCCUACUUGUCGACACCCUAAUGCUCCAUUUAGGCAAGGAAGCUAGCUAGCUGCAGCCCUGCCACUAUCUUAUGUGCGGGCGAAAAGAAUCAGGAUGUCAAGUGACAAGAACCCAAUUUCCUUGCUGGCUCCCUCCUCAGUGUUCUCCUUCUUCACCAUUGUUAAGACUCCUUGAUACAAGCCCUGAUGUUACAGCGGCCCGGUCUUUAUGUGAGCAAUGAGCAAUCUAUAGAUGGGCAGCUUGCAGCCUCCAAGGGUUUGUUCCAGGACUGAUGCAGCGGGUAUUCC